rnacentral:rRNA from 1 species
UACGUAGGGUGCAAGCGUUGUCCGGAAUUAUUGGGCGUAAAGAGCUCGUAGGCGGUCUGUUGCGUCGGCUGUGAAAACCCGGGGCUCAACCCCGGGCCUGCAGCCGAUACGGGCAGACUAGAGUUCGGCAGGGGAGACUGGAAUUCCUGGUGUAGCGGUGAAAUGCGCAGAUAUCAGGAAGAACACCCGUGGCGAAGGCGGCUCUCUGGGACGGUACUGACGCUGAGACGCGAAAGCGUGGGGAGCGAACAGG